rfam:Villosiclava virens strain TV-8b Sca_66, whole genome shotgun sequence.
GCCCUCGUAGCACAGUGGUAGUGCGUGUCACUCGUAAUGACAAGGUCGUCUGUUCGAUCCAGGCCGCGGGCA